AGAAUCAACGCUGGCGGCGUGCCUAACACAUGCAAGUCGCACGAGAAAGGGACUUCGGUCCUGAGUACAGUGGCGCACGGGUGAGUAACACGUGAAUCAUCUACCUUCGAGUGGGGAAUAACUGAGAGAAAUCUUAGCUAAUACCGCAUAAUACCCACGGGUCAAAGCAGCAAUGCGCUUGAAGAGGAGUUCGCGGCAGAUUAGUUAGUUGGCGGGGUAAUGGCCCACCAAGACGAUGAUCUGUAUCCGGCCUGAGAGGGCGCACGGACACACUGGAACUGAAACACGGUCCAGACUCCUACGGGAGGCAGCAGUGGGGAAUUUUGCGCAAUGGGGGAAACCCUGACGCAGCAACGCCGCGUGGAGGAUGAAAUCCCUGGGAUGUAAACUCCUUUCGAUAGGGAAGAUAAUGACGGUACCUAUAGAAGAAGCCCGGCUAACUCGUGCCAGCAGCCGC
rnacentral:rRNA from 1 species